rnacentral:misc_RNA from 1 species
GACCAGGCUUCAUUCCCCCCAAUUGUUGCUUCCUUUCAAGCUCAUCUCUAUCCAUUUUUGGUUUUGAUCUGUAAAGGUGAGUUCUUGUUUGAUCUGGUGUAUAUAGAAUUGAUGGCUUUCGGAAUGUUAUUUUACACAUGGGUUUUUUGGUCGUUAGAAAUUUAAGGUCGUUGGGCAAGAGCAGAUUGGUGUAAUGAUGAAAGAUUUUGACUGCUUUUUUCUCCUCUUUUUUCUGACUGAAUGAGGGAAAGGAUCAUCAUUACGCUUUUAUUUUUUUGUUAUUGCUAAAUUUCAUGGAUCAGGGCCUUUGUUUCUCUGUCAGUCUAACUCUCCUUCAGCUUCAUCAUUGGACUGGUUUUAUUCAUCAUGGCUUAAAGAACCUUCUCUGUCCGUUUCUGCUCCUUCUUGAUCCACACUUUAAUCGGCUUCUUUUCUUCCCUACUCCUACCACUACUCUCUCUAGGGUUUCCUGCUUCAAGAUACAGUUUCCAGAUUAUUAGACAAGAACCCUCUCAAAAGCACAUAAUAUCUCUCUCAUCUUUCUUUUGAAGGAUUCUCAUAUCACUUUUAUCAAGAAAUUUUAACACUGUUUCUUCAGCGGAUUUUUUCUUUUAAUUUAUGUGAUUAUUACUUUGAUUAAUUUCAAGCUGAAAGAUUUGUUUAGUGGAUUGAUGUGGAUGGACUAUUUACUCUCACUAUUCUGAAUUUUUUUCUUAUAAGCAGCUGGUUUUGUGUGUUAAAAGUUUUUUAUUGGUAGCAGCUUUUUUUUUACUUAUAUCUUCAUCUUUUUCUUCUAUUUUUGUUGUGAGCGGUAGUGGGUGGAUUUUUGCAGCUGCAUAAUCUCCUUCCUUUCUUUCUUCUUCUUUGCUUAAUUUCUUAAUACUUUUAUUUUAAAGCUUAGAUCUGUGUUCUAUGUUCAACUCAUAUAUGUGUCCUUUGCAUUGCUCAAAUCAUCAGGUUUUGGAGUUAGUGGAAUAAUAUCUGUAUCUAAUAGGGUUCUAUUGUAUAUAUACUGAUCAGGCUUUGUAUGCGCAAAAUAAUGGCUUUCUUGUGUUAACUAGAAUAUCCUUAUUUAUCUUAAAAACUUGCUUAUAUUUCAGGAUGUGAUAGAUGGAUACCAAGAUUACCUUUUGUGAAGUUUGUGCUUCAUUCUAGCCCUGUUGCUUAAAGAAAGGUGAAUUUAAAGAACAUCUCGCAGCUGUAAUUUAGUACAAUGGCGAACCCAUUAGUUGAUAUGACAAUCUAUCUAUAAAUGUGGUUUAAUUUGUACAUAAAACUAUGAUAUUGUGUUUCUGGAAUCUUUGCACAUGUUUGCUGCCUUGCGUCUGCAUUCUGUCAUGAGAAAAUCUCUAUUAAUUCCUUAGCAUGUGAGGGGAAAGUUUGAUAAUUUAAAUUUAUUAUUGAAAAUUUUUUUGGUUAGCAAAAUGUAGAUAAUGCUUUAAUGCGCGCAAAUACACCAAGAAAGAAAAAAAAGAAAGAAAUUAAAGCGCUGGUUAGCUUUGGUUUAUGUAAGUUUUAUGCUUUUGGGCAAAAUUAAGUGCUUUCUUUAGCAAGGAAGCUGUUGCUUCUCGACUUCCAUGACUGAUCCUGUAGAGAAAGAAGUAGAAAAAGAAAACAGGUUGUGAUUGAAAAGGUGAAAGAGAGAAAGCGUCACCAACAGGAUAAACGUGAUGGGUCUUUUAACUGAUGGGGAGGAAGGGUGCCCAGUGGUGCCCUUAUUUGUGUUGAGGAGUGGUGUGCCUGCGCUUUUCACUCAUUCUGUCAUCAAUUUCUGAGUCUGAACCAUAUGCAACACUGAAUGCCUUUAAUGUUCUGACUCUCUCUCUCAUUAUUUACUAUUAUACAGUUCAGUCAACAUCACCAUUGACGCCACGGAUUCCAUCUUACCCUGCCUGUGAUAAAUGUGAACUAUGAUGUAUCCAUUAUUUGGUAGAACUGUACGUUUAUAUAUUAGACCCAGUUUUUGUGUCAUUGUAUUUCAAGGACUUAUUAAGAUUCUCGUACAUAAAUGUCAGCCUAACUGGUGGAACCCCAUUCUACCCACUCCUCCAUCAAAACAAACCUCUUGAGCUCAGUUUCUUAAUUCUUAGUUCAUUGUAUUCAGAAUACACAUUCAUUUGUAACAAAAAUACCCUUUCUCAAUUUUAUUUUGUUUCCAUACAUGCAGUGAAGGUUUUGAUUUGUUUUAGCUUUCUUAAUGUGUAGCUGUAGGUGGG